rnacentral:rRNA from 1 species
AGAGUUUGAUCAUGGCUCAGGAUGAACGCUAGCGGCAGGCCUAACACAUGCAAGUCGGACGGUAAAUGGUGUAGCAAUACACUAUGAGAGUGGCAAACGGGUGAGUAACGCGUAUGCAACCUACCCUUAACUGGGGGAUAGCUCGGAGAAAUUCGGAUUAAUACCUCAUGUUAUUAUAGGAUGGCAUCAUUUUAUAAUAAAAGAUUUAUUGGUUAAGGAUGGGCAUGCGUGCCAUUAGCUAGUUGGUAGGGUAACGGCCUACCAAGGCGACGAUGGCUAGGGGGUCUGAGAGGAUGGUCCCCCACACUGGUACUGAGACACGGACCAGACUCCUACGGGAGGCAGCAGUGAGGAAUAUUGGUCAAUGGACGCAAGUCUGAACCAGCCAUGCCGCGUGAAGGAAGAAGGCCCUAAGGGUUGUAAACUUCUUUUGUACGGGGGUAAUUUUCGGGUCGUGACCUGGAUUGAAGGUACUGUACGAAUAAGCGUCGGCUAACUACGUGCCAGCAGCCGCGGUAAUACGUAGGACGCAAGCGUUAUCCGGAUUCAUUGGGUUUAAAGGGUGCGUAGGCGGGCCUUUAAGUCAGUGUGAAAGUUUGCCGCUUAACGGUAAGAUUGCCAUUGAUACUGGAGGCCUUGAGUGCAGAUGAGGUAGGCGGAAUGUGUAGUGUAGUGGUGAAAUACUUAGAUAUUACACAGAACACCGAUUGCGAAAGGCAGCUUACUAAAUUGCAACUGACGCUGAGGCACGAAUGCGUGGGGAUCAAACAGGAUUAGAUACCCUGGUAGUCCACGCCGUAAACGAUGAUAACUGGGUUGUUGGCGAUACAUUGUCAGCGACUGAGCGAAAGCAUUAAGUUAUCCACCUGGGGAGUACGUCGCACGAUGAAACUCAAAGGAAUUGACGG